UACAGAGGUCUCAAGCGUUGUUCGGAUUCAUUGGGCGUAAAGGGUGCGUAGGCGGCGCGGUAAGUCGGGGUGUGAAAUCUUGGAGCUUAACUCCGAAACUGCAUUCGAUACUGCCGUGCUUGAGGACUGGAGAGGAGACUGGAAUUUACGGUGUAGCGGUGAAAUGCGUAGAUAUCGUAAGGAAGACCAGUGGCGAAGGCGGGUCUCUGGACAGUUCCUGACGCUGAGGCAACGAAGGCCAGGGGGAGCAAACGGGG
rnacentral:rRNA from 1 species